rnacentral:ncRNA from 1 species
UACCGAGGAGCUACCCGGAAACGAAAGUCUUUCGGUUCCGGGGGUAGUAUGGUGCAAGGUAAACUUAAAGAAAUUGACGGAAGGGCACCACAAGGCGUGGAGCUUGCGGGUUAAUUUGACUCAACACGGGAAAACUCACCCGGUCCGGACACUAUUAGGACUGACAGAUUGAAAGCUCUUUCUCGAUUUGGUGGUUGGUGGUGCAUGGCCGUUCUUAGUUGGGGGAGUGAUUUGUCUGGUUUAUUCCGAUAACGAGCGAGACUCUAGCCUGCUAAAUAGUCGACGAAUCUUCGGGUUCGUAUAACUUCUUAGAGGGAUAAGCGGUGUUUAGCCGCACGAGAUUGAGCGAUAACAGGUCUGUGAUGCCCUUAGAUGUCCGGGGCUGCACGCGUGCUACACUGGUGGAGUCAGCGGGUUUUUCCUAUGCCGAAAGGUAUCGGUAAACCGUUGAACUUCUUCCAUGUCCGGGAUAGGGUAUUGUAAUUAUUACCCUUAAACGAGGAAUGCCUAGUAAGUGUGAGUCAUCAGCUCACGUUGAUUACGUCCCUGCCCUUUGUACACACCGCCCGUCGCUAUCCGGGACUGAACUGAUUCGAGAAGAGUGGGGACUGUGGCUGCGAGGUUUUACCACUUCGCAGUUGCGGAAACCAUUUUUAUCGCAUUGGUUUGAACCGGGUAAAAGUCGUAACAAGGUAGCUGUAGGUGAACCUGCAGCUGGAUCAUCG